CGAAAGUGCCGGUAAUACCUGACGAUGUUAGGGAAGCGCAUGUUUCCUAAACCAAAGGUGGGGACCUUCGGGCCUACUGGCCCUGGAGCAGCCUAUGUCCUAUCAGCUUGUUGGUGGGGUAACGGCCUACCAAGGCAGCGACGGGUAGCGGGCGUGAGAGCGUGACCCGCCACAUCGGGACUGAGACACUGCCCGGACACCUACGGGUGGCUGCAGCAACGAAUAUUCCGCAAUGGGCGAAAGCCUGACGGAGCGACGCCGCGUGUGGGAUGAAGUCCUUCGGGAUGUAAACCACUGUCAGGGGUUAGAAAGAUCUCAUCAGCCCCACAGGAAGUCUGAUCAGCCCCACAGGAAGCCUCGACUAACUCCGUGCCAGCAGUCGCGGUAAUACGGAGGAGGCAAGCGUUGUUCGGAAUUACUGGGCUUAAAGCGCGUGUAGGCGGAUGGGUAAGUGUCAAGUGAAAGCCCCCGGCUCAACCGGGGAACUGCUAGGCAAACUGCUCGUCUUGAGGCAGGUAGGGGUGCAUGGAACACUCUAGGUGGAGCGGUGAAAUGCGUAGAUAUCUAGAGGAACGCCGGUGGCGAAAGCGACCCGCUGGGCCUGUUCUGACGCUGAGACGCGAAAGCGUAGGGAGCGAACGGGAUUAGAUACCCCGGUAGUCUACGCCGUAAACGAUGCGCACUAGGUGCAAGGGCUUCUGACGGUUCUUGGGCCGAAGCAAAAGUGAUAAGUGCGCCGCCUGGGGAGUACGGCCGCAAGGCUAAAACUCAAAGGAAUUGACGGGGGCUCACACAAGCGGUGGAGCAUGUGGAUUAAUUCGAAGCAACGCGAAGAACCCUACCUGGGUUUGACAUGUACGGAUGCCCUCCUGGAAACAGGAGUAAGCUGCCUUCGGGUGAAACGUACACAGGUGCUGCAUGGCUGUCGUCAGCUCGUGCUGUGAAGUGUCGGGUUAAGUCCCUUAACGAGCGAAACCCUUAUCGCUAGUUGCCAGCGGGUCAUGCCGGGAACUCUAGCGAGACUGCCGGCGUUAAGCCGGAGGAAGGUGGGGACGACGUCAAGUCCUCAUGGCCCUUAUGCCCAGGGUGUCACACGUGCUACAAUGGGAUGUACAGAGCGACGCGAUACCGCGAGGUGGAGCAAAUCGCAAAAAGCAUCCCUCAGUUCGGAUUGGAGUCUGCAACUCGACUCCAUGAAGUUGGAAUCGCUAGUAAUCGCGUAUCAGCCACGACGCGGUGAAUGUGUUCCUGAGCCUUGUACACACCGCCCGUCAAGUCAUGGAAGCUGGGAGCACCCGAAG
rnacentral:rRNA from 1 species